rnacentral:rRNA from 1 species
UGGGGGAUAUUGCACAAUGGGCGAAAGCCUGAUGCAGCGACGCCGCGUGGGGGAUGAAGGCCUUCGGGUUGUAAACUUCUUUUGCUCUGAACAAGGCAUGCUAAUGGGUGUGUUGAGUGUAGGGGUUGAUUAGCGCCGGCUAACUACGUGCCAGCAGCCGCGGUAAUACGUAGGGCGCGAGCGUUGUCCGGAAUUAUUGGGCGUAAAGGGCUUGUAGGUGGCUGGUUGCGUCUGUCGUGAAAGCUCAGGGCUUAACUGUGGGUUUGCGGUGGGUACGGGCUGGCUAGAGUGCAGUAGGGGAGGCUGGAAUUCCUGGUGUAGCGGUGGAAUGCGCAGAUAUCAGGAGGAAUACCGGUGGCGAAGGCGGGUCUCUGGGCUGUUACUGACACUGAGGAGCGAAAGCAUGGGGAGCGAACAGG